AGUGAACGCUGGCGGUAGGCCUAACACAUGCAAGUCGAACGGCAGCACAGUAAGAGCUUGCUCUUACGGGUGGCGAGUGGCGGACGGGUGAGGAAUACAUCGGAAUCUACUUUUUCGUGGGGGAUAACGUAGGGAAACUUACGCUAAUACCGCAUACGACCUACGGGUGAAAGCAGGGGAUCUUCGGACCUUGCGCGAUUGAAUGAGCCGAUGUCGGAUUAGCUAGUUGGCGGGGUAAAGGCCCACCAAGGCGACGAUCCGUAGCUGGUCUGAGAGGAUGAUCAGCCACCCUGGAACUGAGACACGGUCCAGACUCCUACGGGAGGCAGCAGUGGGGAAUAUUGGACAAUGGGCGCAAGCCUGAUCCAGCCAUACCGCGUGGGUGAAGAAGGCCUUCGGGUUGUAAAGCCCUUUUGUCGGGAAAGAAAAGCAGCAGGUUAAUACCCCGCUGUUCUGACGGUACCCAAAGAAUAAGCACCGGCUAACUUCG
rnacentral:rRNA from 1 species